rnacentral:snoRNA from 1 species
AAGAUUAUACUUUCAGGGAUCAUUUCUAUAGUUCUUUACUAAAGGGAAUAAUGGUACCUGUUCUUGACCUCUGUUUGCCUGAAGAUAAUAUUCAAAUGAGAGCA